rnacentral:rRNA from 1 species
GACGAACGCUGGCGGCGUGCCUAAUACAUGCAAGUCGAACGAACUCUGGUAUUGAUUGGUGCUUGCAUCAUGAUUUACAUUUGAGUGAGUGGCGAACUGGUGAGUAACACGUGGGAAACCUGCCCAGAAGCGGGGGAUAACACCUGGAAGCAGAUGCUAAUACCGCAUAACAACUUGGACCGCAUGGUCCGAGCUUGAAAGAUGGCUUCGGCUAUCACUUUUGGAUGGUCCCGCGGCGUAUUAGCUAGAUGGUGGGGUAACGGCUCACCAUGGCAAUGAUACGUAGCCGACCUGAGAGGGUAAUCGGCCACAUUGGGACUGAGACACGGCCCAAACUCCUACGGGAGGCAGCAGUAGGGAAUCUUCCACAAUGGACGAAAGUCUGAUGGAGCAACGCCGCGUGAGUGAAGAAGGGUUUCGGCUCGUAAAACUCUGUUGUUAAAGAAGAACAUAUCUGAGAGUAACUGUUCAGGUAUUGACGGUAUUUAACCAGAAAGCCACGGCUAACUACGUGCCAGCAGCCGCGGUAAUACGUAGGUGGCAAGCGUUGUCCGGAUUUAUUGGGCGUAAAGCGAGCGCAGGCGGUUUUUUAAGUCUGAUGUGAAAGCCUUCGGCUCAACCGAAGAAGUGCAUCGGAAACUGGGAAACUUGAGUGCAGAAGAGGACAGUGGAACUCCAUGUGUAGCGGUGAAAUGCGUAGAUAUAUGGAAGAACACCAGUGGCGAAGGCGGCUGUCUGGUCUGUAACUGACGCUGAGGCUCGAAAGUAUGGGUAGCAAACAGGAUUAGAUACCCUGGUAGUCCAUACCGUAAACGAUGAAUGCUAAGUGUUGGAGGGUUUCCGCCCUUCAGUGCUGCAGCUAACGCAUUAAGCAUUCCGCCUGGGGAGUACGGCCGCAAGGCUGAAACUCAAAGGAAUUGACGGGGGCCCGCACAAGCGGUGGAGCAUGUGGUUUAAUUCGAAGCUACGCGAAGAACCUUACCAGGUCUUGACAUACUAUGCAAAUCUAAGAGAUUAGACGUUCCCUUCGGGGACAUGGAUACAGGUGGUGCAUGGUUGUCGUCAGCUCGUGUCGUGAGAUGUUGGGUUAAGUCCCGCAACGAGCGCAACCCUUAUUAUCAGUUGCCAGCAUUAAGUUGGGCACUCUGGUGAGACUGCCGGUGACAAACCGGAGGAAGGUGGGGAUGACGUCAAAUCAUCAUGCCCCUUAUGACCUGGGCUACACACGUGCUACAAUGGAUGGUACAACGAGUUGCGAACUCGCGAGAGUAAGCUAAUCUCUUAAAGCCAUUCUCAGUUCGGAUUGUAGGCUGCAACUCGCCUACAUGAAGUCGGAAUCGCUAGUAAUCGCGGAUCAGCAUGCCGCGGUGAAUACGUUCCCGGGCCUUGUACACACCGCCCGUCACACCAUGAGAGUUUGUAACACCCAAAGUCGGUGGGGUAACCUUUUAGGAACCAGCCGCCUAAGGUGGGACAGAUGAUUAGGGUG